CCUUAUUCCUGCAGGGAGAGGAAACAGAAGGGGAGUUGGAGGUCUUGGGAGAGCGAGGUUCUCCUGAGCAUAGAGUGCAGGAUAUUGCUACUCAGUGUAAACAGGAAUAUUUUUUCCGAGAAAGUAUCCCAAUGUCUGUAUUAUGCUUCUCUGAAGAAGUCGCUGAAUAUAAGUAUGAAAAUUCUGAUGAAGAGGAUCAAGAAACUGGAGGCAAGAAGGAGAACGAAGAGGAUGAAAAUGAAGAACUGGGUGAAGGACUCAGAAAGGAUCUAGACUCAGCAGAGGACAGCCCCAUCAAAAAAUCCAGCUUGGAGGCAAGAAAGAAAUAGAUGGAGAAAGAAGAAAUUAAUUUCCUUUUCGUGAAUUUUCUAGUUUUCAGUAGCUCAAACCACUGUUUUUGUUAAAGUUCAUUACACAAAAUGAUACCAACUGAUAUCUGACUUUACUCUUACCUAUUACACAUAUAUUUGACAGCAUUUGUUCAUGUUAAAAAAUAAAAGCUUGUUUGAAAUGAGUACUUUGCA
rnacentral:lncRNA from 13 species